CAGCAGCCGCGGUAAUACAGAGGGUGCGAGCGUUAAUCGGAUUUACUGGGCGUAAAGCGUGCGUAGGCGGCUUUUUAAGUCGGAUGUGAAAUCCCUGAGCUUAACUUAGGAAUUGCAUUCGAUACUGGGAAGCUAGAGUAUGGGAGAGGAUGGUAGAAUUCCAGGUGUAGCGGUGAAAUGCGUAGAGAUCUGGAGGAAUACCGAUGGCGAAGGCAGCCAUCUGGCCUAAUACUGACGCUGAGGUACGAAAGCAUGGGGAGCAAACAGGAUUAGAUACCCCUGUAGUCCCUGUCUCUAUACA
rnacentral:rRNA from 1 species